rnacentral:rRNA from 1 species
CACGUAGGGCGCAAGCGUUGUCCGGAAUUAUUGGGCGUAAAGAGCUCGUAGGCGGUCUGUUGCGUCCGCUGUGAAAACUCGGGGCUUAACCCCGAGCCUGCAGUGGAUACGGGCAGACUAGAGGUAGGUAGGGGAGAAUGGAAUUCCUGGUGUAGCGGUGAAAUGCGCAGAUAUCAGGAGGAACACCGGUGGCGAAGGCGGUGGUCUGGGCCGGCACUGACGCUGAGAAGCGAAAGCGUGGGGAGCGAACAGG